GACGAACGCUGGCGGCGUGCUUCACACAUGCAAGUCGAACGAGAAGCUCACUUCGGUCAGCGGAAAGUGGCGGACGGGGGGGGAACAUGUAGGUAAGCUGCCUUUAGGAGGGGGACAACAGAGGGAAACUUCUGCAAAUACCUCAUACCAACGUAUCUGAGAUGUUAUUCUUGAAAACGUUGGUGUCUCUAGAUGGGACUGCAUAUGCUUAGCAAGUUGGUAGUGUAAUGGACUACCAAGGGGACGAUCAGCAGCUGGGUUGGGAGGAUGAGCAGCCACAAUGGGACUUAGACACGGGCCAAGAUCCUUCGGGAGGGAGCAGGAGGGGAUUAUGCGCCAUGGGCGGAAGCCUGACGCAGCAACGCCGCGUGAACGGUUGAGGCCUUCGGGGUGUAAAGUUCUGUUAGUGGGGACGAAACUUGACGGUACCCACAGAGUAAGCACCGGCUAACUCCGUG
rnacentral:rRNA from 1 species